rnacentral:lncRNA from 1 species
GAAGAAGGACAACGUGGUGUUGUGUCUUUCCUGCUGGUCAGGGUGGAUGCGACAAGUGGUGGCCUGUAAGGGGACUUCUGCUUCGAGAGAGCGCUGUGGGUCCAGAACUUCAAGAGGUCAGGGUAACCGGCUGGAAAGCUCCCAGGACCGCCACCAGCCGUUGUGGGUACCUGAACAACUGACUCGAGUGCUGAAGAAUGACCAG